GUCCACGCCGUAAACGAUGAUAACUAGCUGUCGGGGCUCUUAGAGCUUCGGUGGCGCAGCUAACGCAUUAAGUUAUCCGCCUGGGGAGUACGGCCGCAAGGUUAAAACUCAAAUGAAUUGACGGGGGCCUGCACAAGCGGUGGAGCAUGUGGUUUAAUUCGAAGCAACGCGCAGAACCUUACCAGCGUUUGACAUGUCCGGACGAUUUCGGGAGACCGAUCUCUUCCCUUCGGGGACUGGAACACAGGUGCUGCAUGGCUGUCGU
rnacentral:rRNA from 1 species